AAAUAAGUAAGCUAAAUAAAGCUUUUAGGCCCAUACCCUAAAUAUAGAAAAUAUAAAAAUUUCUCUUAUUUA
rnacentral:tRNA from 1 species